CAAAAUGGUCUGAGUCGCCACCCAUCGUCCUAACCCUAGUCUUAGCUCCAUCGUACAUGUCCUUGAUUACUCUGAUGUAGGCUUCCGGCACGCUCUACGCCUCCAAGCACCUCCAUAGCACCUCCCUUGGGACCUUGUCAUACGCCUUCUCCAAGUUGAUAAGCACCAUGUGUAGGUCCUUCCUCUUAUCCCUGAAUUGCUCCGCCAGCCGCCUGACAAGGUGGAUAGCCUCUGUAGUGGAGCGGCCCGACAUAAAACCGAACUGGUUCCCAGAUAUAGUUGUCACCUCCCUCACCCGGCCUCAAUUACCCUCUCCCAAACCUUCAUCGUGUGACUUAUUAAUUUGAUACCCCUAUAGUUGUUGCAGCACUGGAUGUCCCCUUUGUUCUUGCACAAGGGCACCACUGUACUCCACCUCCACUCCUCCGGCAUCCUUUUGAUCCUGAAGAUCGCA
rnacentral:lncRNA from 1 species